rnacentral:pre_miRNA from 1 species
AUGAUACUCUCUUCGUCCCAAAAUUCUUGUCUUAGCUUUGUCUAGAAAUGGAUGUAUCUAAAUACUAAAUUUGACUGUAUCUAAACAAAUAUAAGACAAGAAUUUUGGGACGGAGGGAGUACUUU